GUGAUUAGGGAUAGCCAGGCUACUAACCUCAGUACUAAGAGUCUAGUCUAGUAGACAACGAGGGGAGAUGUUUGGAGGGUGGGGAAAAUGGGAAGAAAUGAAAAUGGCUGUGAGAAUUGACAUAACCACUGCAUCAACAAUUUUUAGUCUGUAUAUUAUUAAUAUAAGCUUUUAGUCUGUAUAUCAUUAAAAUUGAUGGCUAUAAGGUGGCAUUAAUAUUUUAUUUUUACAGGUGAAUAAAGAGAAAAUUUACAUUAUUAGCUGAUGGAAACUCAACUAAUAUUUUUUCAAGUCUCGUUCAGUUUGGUGGCUUUUGCUUUUUCCCACUGUUUUGAAGUUUCAGAGCGGCUCACUGACCUGGCAUGCUGGCAAAUGGAGAGGAAAACUCUGCUCUGAGAUGUAAAUGCCCCAUCCAGGUCCCUCAUGAAUAUCUUGUCUCCAGGAUUCAAGCAAGUGACCUGGAAAACAAGGUUCCUCCCCAAUCAAAAUGACAGGCAGAGCUGGUUUCCUGUUAGGAAGACUAUGAGGUGUGUAAAAAAAUUAUGAUUUCUGAGGGGAAAAAAUGAGAUGUCACACAGAGCAAAAUAUUACUUUCAAAUGGUCCUCCACAGUUCUUUUGAAUGGCAGCUGUUAAGAAUUCAAUUGUGUGUGUGACAUGCUGGAAUCCAGAAUGGAAGUUCUGUUGGGGGGCAGGAAUGAAUAGAAAUUUUUGAUUUAAAUACUCAUUUGAGAAUAUUUGAAUAUCUGUCAUUCUUUAGAGUCUAAAGAUUAAUUCUUGAAAAAAUAAUUUCCAUUAACAACAUAAAUUCUAACCUUGUCAAAUUUCUUAUGUAAUGCAUUGGUGCUGAGAGGAAUACUCUUGCAAAACUGUACCAUUAAAUAUAUAAUCCUGGUUUACAGACAAUGUUUUCCUCUAAAAGUUUUAUUGCUUUAUCAGUUAUUUGGUUAGGGGGAAAUCAUUAAGAUAUAUUUACUUUGAUGCCCAACAAAAUAAUCAUGAAUCACCCAUUUUUUUAAAUUAUGAAAAAUAUUGAAAUUAUAAAAAAUAGCAUUAUAUAUUUCAAUGGAGGAGAUGUCUAAAAUUUAUAUGUGUGUGUGUUAGUCACUUAGUC
rnacentral:lncRNA from 1 species